rnacentral:rRNA from 1 species
UAGGGAAUCUUCCACAAUGGACGCAAGUCUGAUGGAGCAACGCCGCGUGAGUGAAGAAGGCUUUCGGGUCGUAAAACUCUGUUGUUGGAGAAGAAUGGUCGGCAGAGUAACUGUUGUCGGCGUGACGGUAUCCAACCAGAAAGCCACGGCUAACUACGUGCCAGCAGCCGCGGUAAUACGUAGGUGGCAAGCGUUAUCCGGAUUUAUUGGGCGUAAAGCGAGCGCAGGCGGUUUUUUAAGUCUGAUGUGAAAGCCCUCGGCUUAACCGAGGAAGCGCAUCGGAAACUGGGAAACUUGAGUGCAGAAGAGGACAGUGGAACUCCAUGUGUAGCGGUGAAAUGCGUAGAUAUAUGGAAGAACACCAGUGGCGAAGGCGGCUGUCUGGUCUGUAACUGACGCUGAGGCUCGAAAGCAUGGGUAGCGAACAGGAUUAGAUACCCUGGUAGUCCAUGCCGUAAAACGAUGAAUGCUAGGUGU